rnacentral:rRNA from 1 species
CCUACGGGAGGCAGCAGUGAGGAAUAUUGGUCAAUGGACGAGAGUCUGAACCAGCCAAGUAGCGUGAAGGAUGACUGCCCUACGGGUUGUAAACUUCUUUUAUAUGGGAAUAAAAUGUUCCACGUGUGGGUUUUUGUAUGUACCAUAUGAAUAAGGAUCGGCUAACUCCGUGCCAGCAGCCGCGGUAAUACGGAGGAUCCGAGCGUUAUCCGGAUUUAUUGGGUUUAAAGGGAGCGUAGGUGGAUUGUUAAGUCAGUUGUGAAAGUUUGCGGCUCAACCGUAAAAUUGCAGUUGAAACUGGCAGUCUUGAGUACAGUAGAGGUAGGCGGAAUUCGUGGUGUAGCGGUGAAAUGCUUAGAUAUCACGAUGAACUCCGAUUGCGAAGGCAGCUCACUGGACUGCAACUGACACUGAGGCUCGAAAGUGUGGGUAUCAAACAGGAUUAGAUACCCGUGUAGUC